AGGCUACUGCUAUUGGAAUUCGACUAAGCCAUGCGAGUCAAGGUGUCUUCGGACGCCGGCAAACGGCUCAGUAACACGUAGGUAAUCUACCCUCAGGACUGAGAUAACCCCGGGAAACUGGGGCUAAUACCAGAUAGAUAAAAGAUACUGGAAUGUUCUUUUAUCCAAAGCUUUUGUGCCUGAGGAUGAGCCUGCGCCCGAUUAGGUAGUUGGUGGGGUAAUGGCCCACCAAGCCUGCGAUCGGUACGGGCAGUGGGAGCUGUAGCCCGGAGUUGGGGACUGAGACAAGGCCCCAGGCCCUACGGGGCGCAGCAGGCGCGAAACCUCUGCAAUGCGGGAAACCGUGACAGGGGGAUUCCAAGUGCUCAUGCAUUGCAUGGGCUGUUCUUUGGUCUAAGUAACCAGAGGAGUAAGGGCUGGGCAAGACCGGUGCCAGCCGCCGCGGUAAUACCGGCAGCUCGAGUGGUAGCCGCGAUUAUUGGGCCUAAAACGUUCGUAGCCGGAUAAGUAAGUCUUUGGUUAAAUCCUACGACUUAACCGUGGGAAAUCUAGAGAUACUGCUUGUCUUGAGACCGGGAGAGGUUGGAGGUACUCCCAGGGUAGGGGUUAAAUCCUGUAAUCCUUGAAGGACCACCAGUAGCGAAGGCGUCUCACCAGAACGGACCUGACGGCAAGGGACGAAAGCUAGGGGCACGAACCGGAUUAGAUACCCGGGUAGUCCUAGCCGUAAACGAUACUCGCUAGGUGUCGGCCACGGUGCGACCGUUGUCGGUGCCGUAGGGAAGCCGUGAAGCGAGCCACCUGGGAAGUACGGCCGCAAGGCUGAAACUUAAAGGAAUUGGCGGGGGAGCACCACAACGGGUGGAGCUUGCGGUUUAAUUGGAUUCAACGCCGGAAAUCUUACCGGGACCGACAGCAACAUGAAGGCCAGGCUGAAGACUUUGCCGGAUUAGCUGAGAGGUGGUGCAUGGCCGUCGUCAGUUCGUACUGUGAAGCAUCCUGUUAAGUCAGGCAACGAGCGAGACCCACGCCCACAGUUGCCAGCGUACUCUCCGGAGUGACGGGUACACUGUGGGGACCGCCGCUGCUAAAGCGGAGGAAGGAAUGGGCAACGGUAGGUCAGUAUGCCCCGAAUAUCCCGGGCUACACGCGAGCUACAAUGGUUGGUACAAUGGGUAUCUACCCCGAAAGGGGAUGGAAAUCUCCUAAAGCCAAUCUUAGUUCGGAUUGAGGGCUGCAACUCGCCCUCAUGAAGCUGGAAUCCGUAGUAAUCGCGUUUCAACAGAACGCGGUGAAUACGUCCCUGCUCCU
rnacentral:rRNA from 1 species